UGUAAUGUUCCAGAAACCAUCGCAGGUUCGACGCCAAGCUCACAACACAGAGGUGCUCGCGCGCAAGGCUCCAUAUUUUCUGCUCCCACAGCCAGCAUACUACAUGCAGGAGCAUUUCAAAAUGAGGUCUUGAGGAUUCUUCACACAAUGAGAAUCACACUGGAAGAUCACUCGUCGCAGCUAAAUGGUCUCUUCUCUAUCCUUGAGCAACACCUAUCACAAUCUACUGUUGGUGAAUGCAGUGACUUUGAGCCAUUCACUGAGCUGGAGCAGUUCUUGUAAUUUGACCAAUCACUAAGUGAUGAACAUGAAAUGAAAAAGCUGGUGAGUUGUCACUGUUAUGAUUUCUAACACUUACGUAAAGCGUUUCUAAUUUUAGCGUGUAUACACAGAAGCCCCACAAUACCUCCAUAUACAUCCCCCCAUCACAAUCACCCUUACUGAUUUGCAAUAAAGUAUUUGGUACUGGA